AGAUUGAACGCUGGCGGCAGGCCUAACACAUGCAAGUCGAGCGGCAGCACGGGUACUUGUACCUGGUGGCGAGCGGCGGACGGGUGAGUAAUGCCUAGGAAUCUGCCUGAUAGGUGGGGGAUAACGUUCGGAAACGGACGCUAAUACCGCACACGUCCGUACGGGAGAAAGUGGGGGAUCUUCGGACCUCACGCUAUCAGAUGAGCCUAGGUCGAUUAGCUA
rnacentral:rRNA from 1 species